GGGUGUGUGGCUCAAUAGUAGAACACUUGCCUAACAUGUACAAAACCUUGGGUCCAAUCCCCAAUACACCCU
rnacentral:tRNA from 1 species